rnacentral:rRNA from 1 species
GGCGAGUGMGCGGURAAASCUCRAMYWUGAAAUCUGGUACUUUCAGUGCCCGAGUUGUAAUUUGUAGAAUUUGUCUUUGAUUAGGUCCUUGUCUAUGUUCCUUGGAACAGGACGUCAUAGAGGGUGAGAAUCCCGUUUGGCGAGGAUACCUUUUCUCUGUAAGACUUUUUCGAAGAGUCGAGUUGUUUGGGAAUGCAGCUCAAAGUGGGUGGUAAAUUCCAUCUAAAGCUAAAUAUUGGCGAGAGACCGAUAGCGAACAAGUACAGUGAUGGAAAGAUGAAAAGAACUUUGAAAAGAGAGUGAAAAAGUACGUGAAAUUGUUGAAAGGGAAGGGCAUUUGAUCAGACAUGGUGUUUUUUGCAUGCACUCGCCUCUCGUGGGCUUGGGCCUCUCAAAAAUUUCACUGGGCCAACAUCAAUUCUGGCAGCAGGAUAAAUCAUUAAGAAUGUAGCUACUUCGGUAGUGUUAUAGCUUUUUGGAAUACUGUUAGCCGGGAUUGAGGACUGCGCUUCGGCAAGGAUGUUGGCAUAAUGGUUAAAUGCMGCCCGUCUUGAA